rnacentral:rRNA from 2 species
GUGACUGCGUACCUUUUGUAUAAUGGGUCAGCGACUUAUAUUCUGUAGCAAGGUUAACCGAAUAGGGGAGCCGGAGGGAAACCGAGUCUUAACCGGGCGUUAAGUUGCAGGGUAUAGACCCGAAACCCGGUGAUCUAGCCAUGGGCAGGUUGAAGGUUGGGUAACACUAACUGGAGGACCGAACCGACUAAUGUUGAAAAAUUAGCGGAUGACCUGUGGCUGGGGGUGAAAGGCCAAUCAAACCGGGAGAUAGCUGGUUCUCCCCGAAAGCUAUUUAGGUAGCGCCUCGUGAAUUCAUCUCCGGGGGUAGAGCACUGUUUCGGCUAGGGGGCCAUCCCGGCUUACCAACCCGAUGCAAACUGCGAAUACCGGAGAAUGUUAUCACGGGAGACACACGGCGGGUGCUAACGUCCGUCGUGAAGAGGGAAACAACCCAGACCGCCAGCUAAGGUCCCAAAGUCAUGGUUAAGUGGGAAACGAUGUGGGAAGGCCCAGACAGCCAGGAUGUUGGCUUAGAAGCAGCCAUCAUUUAAAGAAAGCGUAAUAGCUCACUGGUCGAGUCGGCCUGCGCGGAAGAUGUAACGGGGCUAAACCAUG